rnacentral:rRNA from 1 species
GAUGAACGCUAGCGAUAGGCCUAACACAUGCAAGUCGAGGGGCAGCGGGGUAGCAAUACCGCCGGCGACCGGCGCACGGGUGAGUAACACGUAUGCAACCUGCCAUAUACAGGGGGAUAGCCUUCCGAAAGGGAGAUUAAUACCGCAUAACACAGGGGAGUCACAUGACUAUAUUUGUUAAAGAUUUAUCGGUAUAUGAUGGGCAUGCGUUGGAUUAGAUAGUUGGUGCAGGUAACGGCUCACCAAGUCAGCGAUCCAUAGGGGAACUGAGAGGUUAAUCCCCCACACCGGUACUGAGACACGGACCGGACUCCUACGGGAGGCAGCAGUGAGGAAUAUUGGUCAAUGGUCGAGAGACUGAACCAGCCAAAUCGCGUGAAGGACGAAGGUAUUACGUAUUGUAAACUUCUUUUGUAAGGGAAUAAAGUGAGGGACGUGUCCCUUUUUGUAUGUACCUUACGAAUAAG